rnacentral:tRNA from 1 species
UAAAUUGAAGCUAAAUGUUGAGGCGCUUAGCUGUUAAUUAAGAAUUAGGGGAUAGAUACCUUCCAGUUUAG